UCCCCACGGCGUGCUGGCAGAGGGGACCGCAGCGAGCGCAGAGCCCCUCACACUCCAUUCAAAGCUCUCCUUAAAAGCCCUGCCAGCUAUUUGGCAUAUGAAGGUCCUGACCUGGGAAAACCAUCUCGGAUAACCACGCAAGGAGAAGGAAAAAUGCAACACCUAGGAGAUUUCAGUAAACAGUAGAAUCAUGCCAACCUAAUCUGUGUUAAAAUGCUUGGAAUGUGGGAGCCGCCGAUGAUGCCUGUUGUCUGUGUGUCUGACUGAAUCCUUUCUUUUCUCAGAGCAGCAAAGCCAAGCCUGGGAACCAGGCCAAAUGCCUGCCACUUACCUUAAAUUGAUCAGCCACUUUGAGAUUAAAACCCCUGAAAGCUGCCACACCGUGAAAACAAGGCCUCCUUCACAUUAAAGGCAAAUUGCGACUUUG